UUCUUAGUAUAUUUUUGCCAGGUUAGACCUGGAGCAUCUUAGAGACAGCUAUAGCUCUGACUCAAUGCUCAAGAGUAUUCUUGAGUCUAUUAGAGAUCAUGUUCUGUAAUAUCUGGAUCAUAAAAGGGUAUUUGAGCACUGUUCUUGGGAGAUGAUCCAGCUAUCACACUCAAGGAUACUUUUAUACUGUCUUGUCCAGAGUCAGCUUCUUUCAGGCAUAAAUAUUCAGCAGUGGAAAGAGCAUGUUUUCAUAUCAUGUGUAGGAUUUCUAUGUGAGAGGAAGAAAAUAGAGAUUCCAGUUUUUUCUCCAAAAAGUAGAUAAAACCUAACCUGACUUAAAACAGUAAAGUCCAAAGCCCUCUUCUUCUCUUGUUUGGUUUUUUUUUUUUUGCCUAUUUCAUUCUUUCUGUGAAUUCAUAUUCAAAUUUACUUCUUUUGUUUUAUAGCCUUCAUUAAUUCUAAGUGAUGAGUGAAGUUAAUGGGACGUUUUCUUCCCACUGAGGUGCAGAUUUAAUGCAUGCUUAAGAACACAGAGAAUGCCUGUCUCAAACGGAAAGCAAAGAGAAUGCAUAGGCUCCUUGAAAGUGAACUGCAUCAAACUUCGGGCCCAUACUGCUCGAUCUUCCAACAGUGUGGGAGAGACAACUGCACAGGCAGGGAGGAAAGCUUUUUCCAUUGCGCUGAAGGGGUUGUGCACCAUUUAUCAAGCUGACUGCUCUGUCAUAUCAGUGGAAGGACCCUGGAGAGCCCUGACCAUGAGAUUGAAGGUUGGUACCAAUUUACUGCAACACAAAUGCAUUGAACAGGAAAGAGAGAGCUUCUAAUCUCUUCAAUUUUCUUACAUUACCCUGAAGGCUAGG
rnacentral:lncRNA from 1 species